UCAGCUACCUAGAAUUUUGACGUCGGAUCCUGUUGCGAGAUAUUAUGGACUAAGGCGUGGACAAGUUGUCAGGAUUAUCCGGCCAAGUGAGACUGCAGGCACAUAUAUUACAUACCGAAUUGCUUCUUGAGCUUAUCGGCUAUACCUAAAAUUUAUGCCAAGCAUGCAUAGUGAUUAUAUAACCUUUUUAUUUUUGUUGUUGUAAUGGUUGGCAAUGACAUUACAACAUGACAGUCAUGUUGUAAUGGUUUAUAUUGAACUUUGUUUCUUUACAUUAUAGACCUAUACCCUGUUUGUGUCUUACUGAAUAAUGCAAUAAUAGUUUUGAUUUUCAGUUAUGGUUUUCCUGAGAAAUAAGAAAAUAGAGUGCAAAAGCUGGUUUUGACAAUUCUGACUAAGCUGACACCCCAAAAUCACCACCUAGCAAUUGUGAUUUAUCACUAGUAAACUACUUAGUGCCUGUUUGUUUAUCCAGUGACCUACCGCUACCGCACGUUGUAAUCUAUUUUCACCGUGAUUUAGAAAAACUACUAGCCGUAGCUUCUUAUCCAACGUGACUAUUCACCGUGAUAUUGUAAGUUUCCAAACACAUGCUCAAUCUUCUUUUGAGAUUACUGUGGUUGAAUAUUUUGCUUCCUUAACCAUACGUGUAUAUAUUUUUGUUGGACUCACUUGAAUUUACAAAAAAUUAGUAAGAUUUUAUGCUCUUGUACAUAUCUUUAUUGAAGUCAAACAUUUUAUUGUGUUCAAGGACAAUGAAUGAUGCCAAUUAUUGAAAGAUAAUUGCUUAAAAAAGAAUUAUUGAAAUAUAAAAAGAUUAUGGUGAAAUAGUUGAUGAGACGACACUAUUAUUUGCAUUUCAUAAUCAAUAAUAAAUAAGUAGAUAAGUAGAUUUCAUUGUUCAGUUUGUAACUACAAUGACAUUGAAAUGCAAGGGCCAAUUAAAGUAAGUGACUCUAGCCAUUAUAUUGCUCGAUAAGUAGAUUUCAUUAUACUUUUAUUUUGAAUACAUAAUAUAGAGAAUUUGCAACACAUUAUUUUUUUUAAUUAUAUUUACAUUUUUAAAUUAAUUUCCAGAUUUUUUAAAUUGUAUUUACAUUUUUAAAUUAAUUGAAAUGCCGCAUCACAUGCCACAGUGGUCAUUUAUGCACACUCAACAUGUGCCACGCCAGCAUUGGAGUGACACCUAACAGCUUCAAUGAGCCCAAUGGCUUUUUUUAAAAACAAAAAUUUUACGAGGAUGGAUUUUUUUUUUUCAAGGACCAAAAGCCAACGUAUUUACCCACCUUUGGAAUAUUUUAGUCUUUAUUUUUAUAUACAUCUAUUUAACAUGUAAAUAAAACCAUAUUAUACAUUAUUUCCCGUGAGCUUAAUUCAGUUGAUAGGAUAUUGCAUGUUAUAUGCAGGGCUGAGGUUCGAACUCCGGACAUCCCACUUCUCUGCAUUUAAAAUAUGUGUGAGCUCUAGCCAACCACUAAAUCCCUAACCCGAAGACUAUAAUAGAAACAACAGCGACAAUGAAGAACUGCGAUAACAAAAGAACAGCCGACGCAAAGGUUCAACAAUGGUGUUUACCGAAGAAGACAUAACAAAACUAUACAGAAUCCGCAAAACCAUUCUCCAAAUGCUAUUCGACAGAAACUACCUCGUCGACGAAACCCAACUUACCAUGUCUCGAGAAGAUUUCAUCUUCAAAUUCGGCGAACACAUGAAACGAGAACAGUUAGAAAUCAACACAACACAUAGAAACAACCUAUCUGAAAAAAUCUGUGUGUUCUUCUUUGAUGAUGCUAAACUUGGUGUUAAUAUUGUUAGAGGUAUUAUUAAUAGGAUGUUGAAGGAGAAUGUUGAUAAUGGGAUUAUGGUUUGUCAGAAUAAAUUAUCUCCUGCUGCGCGUAAAGCUGUUGCUGGAAUGAGUUCAAUUGGUUCUAAGCGGCUUGAAGUCUUUAUGGUAAUUGUUCCUGUCUUUCUUUUGUAGUUUCUGAAUUGUUGGAUAGACAAGUUGCACCAACACUAACACGUCGACACUGAUAAUAAUUUGAGAAACUAACAUAUUCAAUGUGAUGACAUGUGUCAUGCACUGAAACGGACAUUGACACGUCGACACUGAUAAUAAGUUGUGAAAUAACGUAAUUCAAUGUGAUCUGGUAAUAAGUUGUGAAAAUAAUGUAAUUCAAUGUGAUCACAUGUGUCAUGCUACACAUAUACGUCGACAAUAAUAAUAAUUUGAGAAAAUAACAUAAUUCAAUAUGCUCACAUGUGUCAUGCUGUGUUGGUGUCGGACACUGACACAUGUCCAGUACACACUUCAAUGUGGUCAUAUGUGUCAGUGUUGGACACGGAGAUGUGUUUAGUCCGACCUUCUAUCAGAAGUGUUGGUGCUGCAAAGUUAGAUAGCUUGAUGUGUAGGUGUUGGAAGACGGUGUUGAAAAGCGUGAUGAUUGGUUAAGUUAAGUAGAUAAUUGAUUAAGUGUGUGUUUGGUCCUGAAUUGUUAGAUAAUAUGAAGCACCGACAUGGGCACUGACACGUCAACAAUGGUAAUAUUUUGAGGAAGUGACAUAAUUUAGUGGAAUUGCAUGUGUCUGUGUCGGUGUAGGACACAGACACGUGUAGGACAGCGGGCACACCUUCCAUCAAAAGUGUCGGUGCUAUAGAGUUAGAUAGCUUGAUGUGUAGGUGGUGGAAGAAGGUAAAAUUAAUUUCUACAAUCAAAAGCUUCAAAUUCUAGGUUCUAGUUAGAAUCAAUUCUGGAGGUAAAAUCAAUUAUACUUGAGAGCAACCAAACAUAUCAAAAUCAAUUUUACACUGCUAGAAUCAAUUUUGGCUCUCUAAAAGUGAAACCAAACUAGGUUAAUCAGGUAAUCAACUAGGAGAUGAGAUAAUCGGUUAGAGAGGUAGGUAAUCGAUUAAGCAGCAAUCAGACUUGUUUAAUUAGUUAAGUUAAACCAAAAGUGAAACCAAACAUACACUAGGUUAAUCAGGUAAUCAAUUAGGAGAUGAGAUAAUCGGUUAGAGAGGUAGGUAAUCGAUUAAGCAGUAAUCUGACUUGUUUAAUUAGUUAAGUUAAUGAUUAAUGGGUUAAAACAAAGUGAAUAUCAAUUUGCAUAACUGUUCUUAGUUCUUGUUUGCACCAUAAGUCUACCACUAAUCCUAUGGACAUUGGUGAAUGAGAGACUAAAUUGACUGAUUUUGCAAUUUCGUAAAUUUGGAGGACUAAAUUGUCUAAUCCUUGCAGUAUUGACAAUCAAAAUGGUGAUUCAUUCUUUUAUAAGAGGAUGUCACUUGUUAAUUAAGUCAUUCUUUUAUUAUUUAAUUAACAGUAAAGAUCCAUUGCGAAAUUGACGAAUUUAUACAAAAAUGGCAUGAAAUCGACGUGUAAAAUUCUGCUUUGUAGAAAUCUGUGCAAGAUUGCACAUUAUAGAAGGAAAUGACGAGAAGUAGAGACGUGAAUUUCUGCCAUGUGUCAUUAGGAGAAUUUUUUGUUAGAAUUGAUAGAAGAUAGAUGUAUAAAAUAUAGUUCUUCUUCUUCAUGUGUGUUGGUGGGUGGUUUUUUAAGGUUGAGGUAAUCGUCGAUGGUGCAGGAGGAUGAACUGCUGGUGAACAUAACAAAGCACGAGCGUGUACCUCCACAUCAGGUUCUCACCGACACUGAGAAGAAAGCCCUGCUCAAGAGAUACACUGUCAAAGAUACUCAGGUCAGUGUUUUAUACCUUCUUUAUAUUUAUUUUUAAUUUCUUCUGGUGAAGAUCUAAUUGUUAUUGUUAACUCCUUCAUUCUUUAUCUAAUGGAUUUAUUGGCCUUGUAUGCAUAUAUAGUAUCGUAUUUGCCAUUAUAGCAUUCUACUACGAAUUUCUGCUUCAGUUCAUUAUAUCUAAUAUAUACCUUCUGCUUCUCAGCUACCUAAAAUUUUGACAAAUGAUCCUGUUGCGAGAUAUUAUGGACUAAGGCGUGGACAAGUUGUCAGGAUUAUCCGGCCAAGUGAGACUGCAGGAACAUAUAUUACAUACCGAAUUGCUUCUUGAGCUUAUCGGCUAUACUAUUUGCAAUACGUUGUACCUAAAAUUUAUGCCAAGCAUGCAUAGUGAUUAUAUAACCUUUAUUUUUGUUAUUGUAAUGGGUGACAAUGAUCUUGGAUGAUGUAUUAAAGAACAACUGCAAUGCACUGAAUUAUGCAGCUGU
rnacentral:lncRNA from 1 species